GUUUAGGAGAGGUGGCAGUAGAGUUUUUGACUGGGCUACUUAACAAGAUCUUGGAGAGUGAGAGGAUGCCAGAGGAAUGGAGGAGAAGUGUACUGGUGCCCAUCUUUAAGAACAAGGGAGACGUGCAGAGUUGUGGAAACUACAGAGGAAUAAAGCUGAUGAGUCACACAAUGAAGUUAUGGGAAAGAGUAGUGGAGGCUAGGCUGAGGUCAGAAGUGAGCAUUUGUGAGCGCAGUACGGUUUCAUGCCAAGAAAGAGAACCACAGAUGCAAUAUUUGCUUUGAGAAUGCUGAUGGAGAAGUACAGAGAAGGCCAGAAGGAGCUGCAUUGUGUCUUUGUAGAUUUGGAAAAAGCGUAUGACAGGGUGCCGAGAGAGGAGCUGUGGUUUUGUAUGAGGAAGUCUGGAGUGGCAGAGAAGUAUGUUCGAGUGGUGCAGGACAUGUAUGAGAGCUGUAAGACAGUGGUGAGGUGGGCUGUAGGGGUGACAGAGGAGUUCAAAGUGGAGGUGGGACUGCACCAAGGAUCGGCUUUGAGCCCCUUCUUGUUUGCUGCGGUGAUGGACAGGCUGACAGAUGAGGUUAGACAGGAAUCUCCGUGGACCAUAAUGUUUGCAGAUGACAUUGUCAUCUGUAGUGAGAGCAGGGAGCAGGUGGAGGAAAAUCUAGAGAGGUGGAGGUUUGCGCUGGAAAGGAGAGGAAUGAAGGUUAGCCGCAGUAAAACAGAGUACAUGUGUGUAAAUGAGAGGGACUCAAGUAGAACGGUGAGGUUGCAGGGAGUAGAGGUGAAGAAGGUGGAGGAUUUUAAGGACCUAGGGUCAACAGUCCAGAGCAACGGAGAGUGUGGAAAAGAAGUGAAGAGACGUGUGCAAGCAGGUUGGAACGGGUGGAGGAAAGUGUCAGAUGUGAUGUGUGACAAAAGAGUGUCAGCAAGAAUGAAAGGAAAGGUGGACAAGACAGUGGUGAGACCAGCGAUGUUGUCUGGUUUAGAGACAGUGGCACUGAGAAAAAGACAGGAGGCAGAGCUGGAGGUAGCAGAGCUGAAGAUGUUGAGGUUCUCUCUGGGAGUGACGAGGAUGGAUAGGAUCAGGAAUGAGGACAUCAGAGGGACGGCUCAUGUUAGAUGUUUUGGAGAAAAAGCCAGGGAAGCCAGAUUGAGAUGGUUUGGACAUGUUCAGAGGAGGGACAGUGAAUACAUUGGUAAAAGGAUGCUGAGGUUAGAGCUGCCAGGAAGGAGGCCUAGAGGAAGACCAAAGGAGGACAUGAGGAUAGUUGGUGUGGGUGAGGAGGAUACAGAGGAUAGGGUUAAAUGGAGGCAGAUGAUUGGCUGUGGAGACCCCUGAAGGGAGCAGCCCAGAGGAGAAGAAGAAGAAGAGGAGCAGCUGUGGGUACUUUCAUCAUUGGUUUAUUUCUUCUCACAU
rnacentral:lncRNA from 1 species